rnacentral:rRNA from 1 species
UACGUAGGUGGCAAGCGUUGUCCGGAUUUACUGGGUGUAAAGGGCGUGCAGCCGGAGAGGCAAGUCAGAUGUGAAAUCCGCGGGCUCAACCCGCGAACUGCAUUUGAAACUGCUUCCCUUGAGUAUCGGAGAGGUAACCGGAAUUCCUAGUGUAGCGGUGAAAUGCGUAGAUAUUAGGAGGAACAUCGGUGGCGUAAGCGCUUUACUGGGCCGUAAUUGACGCUGAGGAACGAAAGCCAGGGUAGCAAAUGGG